GGCGAGAUGGCCGAGCGGUCUAAGGCGCUACGUUAAGGAAUACCUUAAUUACAUCAUGGUUCAUGAUUCCGUAGUCCGAAAGGGCGUGGGUUCGAAUCCCACUCUCGUCA
rnacentral:tRNA from 1 species